CGGAACGUGGGGAAAGGCGCGGACUACCGUUAGCCGCCGCCGCGGCGUUCUCCCGAAGCGGGCGUCGCAGCUGGAGGGCCUGGCAGGUUGCGUGCUCCGCUGGACAGCUGCCUGGGGAGUCCCUGCGCCGGUCAAAGCCUGUGUUUCCUCCUCGCGAGGCUGAGGUUUGUCCUUUUAGAGACGAUCCUAGAACUGGAAUGAUACAGGAUGGAACUUUCUCAGACAGGCUGCUUUCACUCAGCAAUAAUGCCUGUGACAUCCACCCAAGCUGUCAUAAGGAACAACAGCUGAUGACCUUUUUCAUUGCCAAGCAACUCUCCAUUGUAUGAAUGUACCAAAGUGGGUUUGUUUCAUUUUUUAUUCACUCGCUUGUUGAAGGACAUCUGGGUUGUGUCCAGUUUUUGGUGGUCAUGAGGUCAUGAGUGGAGUUGCUAUAAACAUUUGUGUGAACUUGAGUUUCAUUUUUCUAAAGUUAACACCCACAUGUGAGAUUGCUGGGUCAUAUGAUUAGCGUAUGUUUAACUUCAGAAGAAACUCCCAAAUGUUUUCUAGAAUGGUUGUACCAUUCUGUAUUUACUCCAACAACAUAUAAGAAUUCUAGCUGUGCCUUAUCCUUGACAAACAUGGUAUUGUAUUUUUUUAUUAUUAUAGCCAUUCUAAUAGGUAUGAGGUGGAUCUUAUUCUGGUUCUGUUUCUCUCUAGUGCCUAAUGAUGUUGAACAUAUUUUACUUGCCUAUUUACAUGCCAUCUAGACAGUCCCAAUGGGAAAAAGUCUGUUCAAGUCCUUUGCCCAUUUUUAAGCAAGUUAUGAUCUUGCUAUCGAGUUCUGAGAGUUCUUUAUAUAUUCAAAACACAAGUUCUCUGUUAGUACGUCAUUUGCAAAUAUUUCCUCCCAGUUGGGAGUCUGUCUUUUCUUUCACUUAGUAGUGUCUUCACAGAGCAAAAGUUUUAAAUUUUAAUGAGACUCCAUUUACCAAUUUUUUCUUUAUGGACUUUGCUUUUGGUGGAGUGUCUUAAGAACUAAUCCCAAGUCAUGAUGAAGAUUUUUCUCCUGUGUGUGUGUGUGUGUUUUUCCCCUAAAGGUUAUCAUUACAUUUAAGUCUAGAAUACGUUAUGAGUUAAGUUUUCUGUAAUGUGUGAGGUCUAAGUCAAGGCUCAGAUUUUUGCUUAUCGAUGUCCAGUUGUUCCAACACCAUUUGUUAAACUACCCUUUGCCCUGUGAUUGCUUUUGAAUCUUUGUCAAAAAUCAAUUACCCAAAUUUGUGUGCAUUUAGUUGCACACGAUUCUGCUCCACUGAUUUAUGUGUCUCCCCCUUAACCAGUAUCUGUACCUUAAUACUAAGUCUUUAAAUAAUGUGAUUCCUCCAAGUUUAUUCUUUCUCAGACUUAUUUUGACUAUUCCAGUUUGUCUGCCUAUCUAUGUAAAUAUUCCAAUCAGCUUUAAGGUUAAAAAAAACUCAAUACCUAUCUAUCUAUCUAUCCACAUGCGCGCGCACACACACACACACACACAUACAGGCAUAUAUCUUCGCAAUAUUGCAGGUUCAGUUACAGACCACUGCAAUAAAGGAAAUAUUGCGAUAAAGCAAGUCAAGUGAUUUUUUUUUUUGUUUCUCAGUGCGUAUAGGAGUUAUAUUUAUACUGUAGACUGUUAAAUGUGCAAUAGCAUUAUGUCUUAAAAAAGGGGUACGCCUUAAUUAAAUGUACAGAACUUUAUUUCUCCCAAAUGCCAACCAUCACCUGAGCUUUCAGUCAGUCAUAAUCACUCAUCAUAGAUCACCAUAACAAAUGCAGUAACAAUUAAGAAGUUUUUAAGAUUGCAAAGAUUACUAAAACAUGACACAAAGACACAGUGAGCAAAUGCUGUUGGGAAAACGGCACCAAUAGAUUUCCUUGAUGUGAGGUUGCCACAAACCUUCAAUUUGUAAAAAAAUGGAGUAUCUGCGAAGUGUGAUAAAGCUAAGUGCGAUAAAACAAGGUAUGCCUGUGUAGAUGAAUGGAUCUCAACUUUUCUUCAUUACCACCUUUUCCAAGGAGAAAAGUUGAAGUUAAAAUUCAAGCAAUUAUUUAUAAUUAAUACUAAAGAACAAGGUUUUGCUGGUUAGAGAGAAUUUUAUUUCUUCCUUUCAAAUCUAUUUAUUUCUUUUCCUUGUCUUAUUGCACCGGCCAGGAUGUCAAGUAUGAUGUGGAAUAAACAUGUUGAGCAUGAACAUCCUGAAAUUAUUCUUGAAUUUAGCAGGAAAAACCUCCAAUCUUUCAUCAUGGUGUUAGUAUUCUGCAGUGGCUGAGAAUGCAGUUUUCAGUGAUGCAACUACUAGCUCAUGUACUCUUUCUUGCUGUUUCUUUCUUUCCUCUGUUCUCUUCCAUCUUUUUUUUAUCAUGUUCUCAUACUUAAGACUUCUUUUCUGUGCCAAAAUCAGUAACGUUAUAUUGAGGAAGGGACACCGUCCUUUCAAAUGGGCCAUCUAAGGCAGCUAAUUAUGCAUCACAUUGAGUUCUCUACUGAGAAAAAUUCUGUGACUUGAACUAAAUAUUUUUAAAUGUGGAUUUUUUGGGAAAACUAAUAUUUAACAUUGUUUUUCCUGCAUGGCAAAACUGCCUAUUCUGCUACUUAAAAACCCUCAAUGACUUUAUUUUCAACUGGCUCCUUUUUUAUGUACAGCCAAAAUGAAAACGUCUAAAUUAACUAUGUUGUACAAAUGGUACCCAACACAAACUUUUUAAAAAUUAGUAAGACUUUUGUUUUAUGUUUGCAUUUUGACUAUUUUCAUAAGGAUGUAGGUUGUGUGUUUAACCGUUAAUGUUAAAAACUGUGAUGUGUGUGCAGAAUAUUCUAUAUGCAUGUUCAUGUUUAAAGAAUGGCUGUUGACGAUAAAAAUCAGCUUUCACGUAAAAAAAAUCAGGUUGAGGAAGUUUCCUUCUAUUUCUAGUUUGUUGACUUUGUAUUUUAUUUAUUUUAUUUUGAGAGAGAGCAUACAUGUGCAUGCAUGAGUGGGGGAGGGGCAGAGGAGGAAGAAGAAAAUCUUAAGUGGAAUCUGUGACUCUGGGCUCGAUCUUACAUAGUGAGAUCAUGACCUGCACUAAAACCAAGAGUCGGAUGCUCAACCAACUGAGCCAUCCAGGCACCCCUAGUUGUGUUUAUCUUCAUGAACGAUGUUGGGUUUUGUCAGAAGCCUUUUCUGUAUCAGUUGAAAUGAAUAAGUGAUUUUCUUUGUUAAACUGUUAGAGAUUACACUGAUUUUCAAAUAUUGAAUUAGCCUUGCAUUCUUGAUUUAAAUCCCAUUUUGUCAUAGUGUAUUAUGCUUUUUAUACAUUGCUACAUUCGACUUACUAGUAUUUGGGGCUUUUAAAAAUAUUUUUUUUAUUUUUUUUAAGUUUUAGACAGAGAAUGUGAGUGGGGGGAAUGGGGAGAGCAAGCGAGCGAGACAGAGAGAAUCUUAAGUAGGCUCCAUGCUUGGCACAGAGCCCUAUGUGGGGCUUGAUCCCAUGUCCCUGGAAUCACGAUCUGAGCUGAAAUCAAGAGUUGGAUGUUCAGCCAACUGAGGCACCCACGUGCCCCUACUAAUAUUCUGUUAACAACUUUUGCCUCAACGUCCAUGAGGAAUACUGGUUUUGUUAUAUGGCCCAAAGCAUUCCCCUGUCUUCUGUUUUCUGGAGGAGACUGUAGAAUCAAUAUUUAUUUUUUCUUAAAUGUCUGGUAGAAUUUGCCAGUGAAACCAGCUGGGCCUGAUGAUUUCUUUUUAGAAAGUUUGAAUUUUAAGGAAUUCAAUUUCCUUAAAAGCUAUAGGACUACUGGGGUGCCUGGGUGGCUCAGUUGGUUAAGUGUCUGACUUUGGCUCAGGCCAUGAUCUCGCAGUUCGUGAGUUUGAGCCCCACAUAGGGCUCUGGGCUGACAGCUCAGAGCCUGGAGCCUGCCUUGGAUUCUGUGUCUCCCUCUCUCUCUCAAAAAUAAAAAUAAAACAUAAAAAAAUUAAAAAAAAAAAA